GGGGGAGAGGCGGGGCUCGGAGGGCAGGGGCGGGACCAGGCCUCAAUGUGAUCUCUCAUUGGUCGGCAUCUCUCCCGCUUCUGCGCGGGUCCUGGGAGGCGAGGCAGCAGCCCUGAGGCCUUUCGUUUUGACAGGAGCCUGAAGCUCUACCACCUGUCUCACAAGGUGACUGGAAGUUAAAAAGAUUCCUGAGUUGCUGAUUCCAGCUUCAUUCCAUUGUAGUUCGAGAAGAUGCAUGCUCCCUGCUGAUGGCUUGGGAAAGAAAAGGAGGAUGGCCCAAGUUCUUGGGCCCCGCACCCAUGUGGGAGACUCAGAAGACGCUCUGGCUUUAGCCUGGCCCUGCUCUGGCCUUUGUGGUCAUUUGUGAAGUGAACCAGCGAUGAAAGACCUCUCUUUCUCUCUCUCUCUCUCUCUCUCUCCCCUCUACCCUCACCUCACUCACUCAUUCUUUCAAAUAAAAAAAAAAUCAUGAAUCAAAUACGUUCUCUAGAAUGCUCAUCUUAAUGUAUUUCAAUAAAGUUGAAAGUAAAAAAUGCAAAUG